rnacentral:tRNA from 1 species
GACCACGUAGCUCAGUUGGCAGAGCAUUGGGCUAGUAUUCCAAAGGUCGUAGGUUCGAUUCCCACCGCGGCCG